UUAAUUUACCUAGCUUUUAUUUUUGAGAACAUUCUGACCUGCUUAAAACAAGGCUGUUUAGUAGCCACAGCAUCCAGAGCCAUAGCCACAGCCAUAGCGGGAGCUGUAUCCACAGCCAGAGCCAUAGCCACAGCCAUAGCCACAGCCAGAGCCAUAGCCACAGCUGUAUCCACAGCCAGAGCCAUAGCCAGAGCCAGAGCCACAGCCAUAGCCACAGCUAGAGCCAUAGCCACAGCCAGAGCCACAGCCAUAUCCACAACCAGAGCCACAGCCAGAGCCAUAGCCACAGCCAUAGCGGGAGCCAUAGCCACAGCCAUAGCCACAGCUAGAGCCAUAGCCACAGCCAGAGCCACAGCCAUAUCCACAACCAGAGCCACAGCCAGAGCCAUAGCCACAGCCAUAGCGGGAGCCAUAGCCACAGCCAUAGCCACAGCCACCGCAGGAGUUUCCGUAGUAGUUACAACACAUGGUGUUGGGAGGUGAGGUUUCAGUUGAGGUGUAGGAGAUUUCUGAAGUCUGGAUAUCUUCUCCUCUUCCAGGACCUUUUAUAUACUUCCAGGGGUGGAUGGAUCAUACCUC
rnacentral:lncRNA from 12 species